AGCGUCGUUCCCACACUCGCAACACAUCAAGACACCAUUCCCUUGAAUGAUGCAGAGAUGAGCACAGCCUGCCCCAGGUCCACCCUGGGCCAAGGAGGUAGCUCUCUCUUCCACUCCCAACUAUUCAGCUCUCUUUGGAGGUCCUCUGUCCCCCAUCUCCUGUCAUCCAGGAGAGAGAUGUCCGCGUGGGGACGCAGCCCUGCAGGAGGGACACUCCGAGAUGGGGCCGGGCGUGAGGACCGGCUCCCAAGAAGAGAGGACAGGGCAGCAGCCACACCAGCCGGGUGGCCUAGGCAAAGAGGACGUCGCCCUUCGGCGUCCUCCUCUGUGAGAUGGAUCAGGAGUGGGUUCCGGGUUGCGGGCGCCUCGGUGGCGCGGGGGGUCGGGUCCGUCGCACGGGCGGCGGGGGUGCGCGUGCGCGUGGGACGCGUACGCGGCGCUCACAGCACCAUGGCUGGCAGGUGAUGCGCCGCGGCGGCAGCGGCGGCCG
rnacentral:lncRNA from 1 species